rnacentral:lncRNA from 10 species
UAUUGUGUUGAGAAAGUUUAAGGUUAAUUGACAGCAUAUUUCUAAUAGUAGAUAGAAUAACAUCCCUUUUAUAAACAUUGACAUCCUACAUUACAUGUGUGAACCCUGAAAAUCUGAGACAGCUCUCAGAUUUUUUAGAAAGUUUAUUUUGCCAAUCUUGAGGAUGUGCGCCUGUGAUGCCUCCUCAGGAGAUCCUGACAACAUGGGCCCAAGGUGGUCGGGGCACAGCUUGGUUUUAUACACUUUAGGGAGACACGAGAGAUCAAUCAAUACGUGUAAGAUGUACAUUGGUUCAGUCCAGAAAGGUGAGAAGGCCAGACAGGGGGCUUCCAGGUCACAGGUAAGUAAGAGACAAAUGGUUUCAUUCUUUUGCAUUGCUGAUUACCCUCUCCAUGUGAGGCAAUCAGGUAUGCAUUUAUCUAGGUGAUCAGACGGGUGUCUUUGGAUAGAAUGGGAGGCGGGUUUGCCCUAAGCAGUUCCCAGCUUGACUUUUCCCUUUAGCUUAGUGAUUUUGAGUCCCCAAGAUUUAUUUUCCCUUCGUAAGUGUUCCUAUGAGUAUUAAUUAUUCAUUGUGUCUUUUAUUACACAAAUAAGGCACAGAUUUUUAAGAAAUCAUCAACUUCAUGGCUACCUAUAUAGACAUAAUUACACAGAAGCUCAACUAAAUUUGCAAACAUUCCAGAGUUUGGGUUUCCAAUAAUUCUUUGUGAUUCUUUAAAAGGUAAAGUAUUUUUUCCCAUAAAACAUAGCAACAUUUAAAAUCACCCGUAGAAUGUCCCGCCAUUUUUGUUUUUCUAGUUUCCUCAUUUUCUGCAAAUCCUCGCUGAGGAAAUUGACUUUGAAUAUCCUUUUAGACUCUUUUGUUUUAGAAAGCAUUGUGGUAAAACAUUGAAUCAUCAUGGUCAUAAGUUCUGUUCACAUUCUUUCUUUCUUUGAAUAUUUUUUCCCAUUGGCCAAUAUUUGAUUCUGUUGUAUUAGGGCUAAAAGGUAGGCAUGGCAAGAAAAUAAAGACAGGAAGUCUUUGGAAUAAUUGAUCCCAUCAUAAUGAAUCAAUUUGUCAUUGGAACAUGUUUUUACAAAGUCACUCUUUUGAAAAUAUUCAGCUAUGACUUGAAAGAGAGUCUGUAUGGUUAAUAUUUUUCCUGGUCUAAGGUGAACAGCUUUUUAGAGAAUGAACCCAGGACACAACCACAGCACAAGAAAAAAAUAUGAUAAUUAAGUUUACACAUAUUGUUACUACUGUAACAGAAAACAUGUAAAGGACAUUUGUUUUGAUUUAUAUAUCAGUCUGCACUGUUUAAUUUUUUGUGUCAUAAUUGCUCUUAUUUUAAAAAACAGGACUAGUUAACAGUGUCAAUUACUAGUAAUUCAUGGUAUAAAUAAUUAAACAAGGAAGUGUUAAAAAAACAGUGUUUUAAAUAAAGUUUUAUUUUAC